GACACUGUACCACAGUUUCUCAGACAAAAAUGUUCAUAAUCAGUUUAUAAAUCCACAUAUGCCGAUGAAACUACACGUUAUAAGAUGGUGGAUUCAGCUGAUCCAGGAGCUCCAGGAAAAGCGAAACCCGCUGAAUGAGUGGAUCAGACUUUUCAGCCCGUAAGAGACGAGAAUAGACGCUCUUGUAGAUCUUCACCUGCUCCUCUUCUUUACCACUGCAUAGGAAAACAAUACAUCACAGACAGAAAGAGCGUGGGAAUUCUGCAUACAGACCUUGGCAGGAGCUCUCGCGGUGCAGGCAGUGGAGGAUCUCCUGGUCAUCUUUGGUCUGAUAGCUGUACUCCUCCAGAUACGCAGCUCUGUUUGAGGCAUUCUGGGCCAACAUGAGCUGAACAUCUCCACACAGAGACAGACACUGGCAGUGGAAAAGAAGCACCUGUGCGUGGAGACCGCCACUAAUGGAGCAGUAUGCAUCUGCAAAGGAACAAAGCAUAUACAAAUCAGCUCUCCGACAGACUUGAUGACGGCCACAGCUUUGGAGUCGUGCUGCGGUUCAGAGGCAGUGCUGAAGGAGCAUCUCUCGUCUUCAUCUUCCUCCUCAUCCUCCUCAUCUUCAUCACUGUAGCUGUCUUCAGAUCCUCCUCCUCUCAGCGACUCCCCAUUGCCUUCGUCUUCACUCACAUCAUCCAGCUGAAACAGUUCUGCCAGCAUGUAGUGAGCCGAAGCGAUGAUCUGCACCAGCAAACGCAAGGAAACGCGUGGGUAGAUUCUGUUCUUUGGGAACCGACGACACGUGACCUAAAGCAUAUGUGUCCACCUGCUCCUGAAAGACACAAGUGAUCCACAUUAAACUUCAGAAACAUUAAAGAAAUGAGAAGCAGAUGAGAGCUGAACACACCUCUUUGGGCAGUGCAGACUCU
rnacentral:lncRNA from 1 species